GCUGGGCAAUAAAGAAUUAUUGUCAUCUCCAAAGCAUGAAGACUCGCCGGAAUUUCCUAGGAAUUCAUUGCCAGAUACCCCUGGCAAAUGGCUUUAAUCGCGGACCAUCCUCUGAAUUUUGGUCUCUAAUCACCCCACUCCCUGGACUUCUGCAUGCGGUCUUUUUCACCCCUCCCCCUGGAUUUUUCAAGGCCUUUUUUUAGAACUCCCCCUGGAGGAGAGUCACUAUCUUGAUCAUUUUCCGAUUUGUCUCCCAAGAAAGUACAUGUGCAAAAAACAUGAAACUUUAGAUUGCAGAAAAUUGCACAAGCAGUUAUCAAACUCAUGUCACACAAAUGGUAAAGGCCUACUAAAGGGCAUGUGUGACAAUUGAAUGGUACCCUGCUCUAACGUUUUUGGCCAGGGAUGGGUAUUUAUCUUUUAAAUGAUAUUUGAGGUUGAGUAAACAUUUUUUGACUUUUUAAUGGUUGGAUCAGCAAAAUGUUUAACUCCCGCCAUAAAUAAUGACUGGUCCAGUGGCGCCGUGGCCGGGGCAUGCCCCCCAAUUGUUGAGACUCGUCGGAAAAUUGGUAAUGUUGUCG